GUGCUUGCUUCGGCAGCACAUAUACUAAAAUUGGAACAAUACAGAGAAGAUUAGCAAGGAUGACACACAAAUUCGUG
rnacentral:snRNA from 1 species